ACUCCUCCCAAGGGGUGAGUGCAGGAAGACACCAGGAGGGAGGCGGAGCCUCUGGAGAUCUUUCUGGAACCCAAACCACCCUAACUGGAGCCAGAAGGUCUGUCAAUUCCCAGAGAGCAGCAAGGAAAUGGUAAGUAAAUGGCAGCAGUUGCCUAGAGAAUUAGGGAAUGAAUAACAAUGCUUUCUGGUAAAUUAACCAUAUUACAUUGUGCACAGCAAAGUGAUGGAAGAACCCAGUUAAAAAUUGAAUAAUAAUUUUCCCACAUCAUUUAUGUAAAAUGCAUAAUUUUCCUACUUCAGUGGACUUUGGUUUGAUUUAAAAUAUGAACCGCUCUAGUACUGUUCACCAAAGCAUAAUUUGUGAGAUAAUUGGGAAGGGGAGGAGAAAUCAGGCUGUAAUCAGCACAAUCCUGUGUGAGCCACUUCACCUCCCUCCCGUCCCCUGCAAAUUUCGGAAAUUGUUUGUCGAUAGGUUGAAGGUCUCUAUGUGAAAGUGUGAGGCAUCAAUCAUUGUCGUUGCUAUCACUAAACCAUGACCUCACCGUGUGCAAGAGGGGAAAGCAAGGCUUCCCUCUAGUCAGUCUUUUUCUGCUCUAAUUCAAAUAAGUACUUGUUUUUGAAUAGUAGGGAAAAUGGAAAUGUUGCCAUGCUUAAAACAGCAAGCCGAGAACAAAAGAAACGUGCAAGCAGCGGAAGGAGACCUUGGAAGAUGCGUAGAUAGAACAAAAAACUGCGCUUGGCCAGGAUUCUGUUUCAGAAUCAAAUGCAAAAUGAAGAACGUUGUUCCAACUAUAACGAUUUUGCCACCUACGAUCUCUGAAAUGAAAAGUCGUCAUGGAAUCCACGUUGACAUUCAAAAGCUGUGCUCUUGCGAUGAGUGAUGGUGUUUGUCCGUGACUGAUGUAGGCUUCAGAACCAGAGCUGUCGGCGGUGGGGUGGAAUUCCACAGGUGAACCAGCCACCCUUCACUUCGACGCUGCCCUCCCGGCCACGGUGUUCUUAAGGGCAACAGUUCCCGUGGCAGCUUCUCAAGUCCCACCUUCCUGAUUGUGGCAGAGGUGGCAGCUCUCCUGGCUGAUUGAUUCUGCCACAUUCUGAGAGUCAUCCCCGGAGGACCAGCGUAAAGCCCUCUCUCCCAGCUCUUCCACCAAGUCUGUAAUUCCCCAUAUUAAACCUUUUUUUGCUUAAAAAA
rnacentral:lncRNA from 1 species